rnacentral:rRNA from 1 species
UGCCAGCCGCCGCGGUAAUACGGAGGGGGUUAGCGUUGUUCGGAAUUACUGGGCGUAAAGCGCGCGUAGGCGGACUAUUAAGUCGAGGGUGAAAUCCCAGGGCUCAACCCUGGAACUGCCUUCAAUACUGUCAGUCUUGAGAUCGGAAGAGGUGAGUGGAAUUCCUAGUGUAGAGGUGAAAUUCGUAGAUAUUAGGAAGAACACCAGUGGCGAAGGCGGCUCACUGGUCCGAUACUGACGCUGAGGUGCGAAAGCGUGGGGAGCGAACAGGAUUAGAUA